rnacentral:rRNA from 1 species
GGGUGAAAUCUAAUUAUUUGUUAGUAAUUUAGUGUUAUAUAAAAUUAUUUUGAAGCUAUUAAGCUUUAGGUAUAAAACAGGAUUAGAUACCCUGCUAUACUUUAGUGAAAGUUUAUUACCUGAGAAGUAAAUAGUUAUAUUCUUUAAACUCAAAGGAUUUGGCGGUAUCUUAGUCUUGUUAGAGGAACCUGUUCUAUAAACGAUAUUCCACGAAGAAUCUUACUUUUUUUUGUAAUAUCAGUUUGUAUACCGCCAUUAUUAGGUAAUUUUAUAAAAAUUUAUUAUAAUAAUUUUAGUUAAUAUAUUAGGUCAAGGUGCAGCUAAUGGGAAAGCAAGAAAUGGGUUACAAUGUUAUAUGUUAAUACGGAUAAAUGAAAGUUUUUAGUUUAGGAAGGUGGAUUUAAUAGUAAUCUUGUUUUAAUAUGUCAAUAUGAUAAGAGCUCUGAGGUGUGUA